GGAGAGGUGGCAGAGUGGUCUAACGCGCCUGACUCGAAAUCAGGUGUUCUCGAAAGGGAACCGGGGGUUCGAAUCCCUCCCUCUCCGCCA
rnacentral:tRNA from 3 species